CUGAAGGUGGGGUCAAGGGAGGCCCCAAAACAGUCUACACAGCAGGAGGGAUGGCUGGGGCUCUUGAGCUAUAAGUGGCACCUCAGGGCCCUGACGGGCGUCUCGCCAUGCUGCUCCUGGGCCUGCUGCUGCUGCCCCUGCUGGCUGGCGCCCGCCUGCUGUGGAACUGGUGGAAGCUCCGGAGCCUCCACCUCCCGCCUCUUGCCCCGGGCUUCUUGCACUUGCUGCAGCCCGACCUCCCAAUCUAUCUGCUUGGCCUGACUCAGAAAUUCGGGCCCAUCUACAGGCUCCACCUUGGGCUGCAAGAUGUGGUGGUGCUGAACUCCAAGAGGACCAUUGAGGAAGCCAUGGUGUCUAAGAACUACCCGGACCUGUCCUUGGGAGACUACUCCCUGCUCUGGAAAGCCCACAAGAAGCUCACCCGCUCAGCCCUGCUGCUGGGCAUCCGUGACUCCAUGGAGCCAGUGGUGGAGCAGCUGACCCAGGAGUUCUGUGAGCGCAUGAGAGCCCAGCCCGGCACCCCUGUGGCCAUUGAGGAGGAAUUCUCUCUCCUCACCUGCAGCAUCAUCUGUUACCUCACCUUCGGAGA
rnacentral:misc_RNA from 1 species